UUGAACGCUGGCGGCAUGCCUUACACAUGCAAGUCGAACGGUAACAGGUCUUCGGAUGCUGACGAGUGGCGAACGGGUGAGUAAUACAUCGGAACGUGCCCGAUCGUGGGGGAUAACGGAGCGAAAGCUUUGCUAAUACCGCAUACGAUCUACGGAUGAAAGCAGGGGACCGCAAGGCCUUGCGCGGACGGAGCGGCCGAUGGCAGGUUAGGUAGUUGGUGGGAUAAAAGCUUACCAAGCCGACGAUCUGUAGCUGGUCUGAGAGGACGACCAGCCACACUGGGACUGAGACACGGCCCAGACUCCUACGGGAGGCAGCAGUGGGGAAUUUUGGACAAUGGGCGAAAGCCUGAUCCAGCCAUGCCGCGUGCAGGAUGAAGGCCUUCGGGUUGUAAACCUCUGUCAGCAGGGAAGAGUACGGACGGUACCUGCUGAGGAAGCUUCGGCUAACUACGU
rnacentral:rRNA from 1 species